GCAGUUUGGGACCAGAGCAGCUCAGAAGCACAAAAGAGGCCGAACAAUAGGCAGGGGGAGCCCCCUGCCCCAUCCAGGCAGCUUUGUUCCAGCGGCUGUCUGCAUGUUCCCGGCCUCCUCCACUUCCUUUGUUCCGGGGCAGCUGUCAAGGAAUUAAGCUGAAGCAAGAGAUGAUCGGCAGUGCUUCUUCCCAGUGGGCAAACAGAGGAAGGCUGAAAUGAAGGAUUAUUCUACAGCGAUAGCACUCCCUGGGCAGCAAGCUGCACCUCCACGUUUCCAGAAAGCCUGCCCAAGCUACAGAACAAACACACCAGGAGCUGUCUGGGUGCAUUCACCCUCAUCCCGCUGGCCGGUGCCAGCUGCAGGCACACAUGGGCGUGCUGCUGCUGUGACAUGGGGACAGGCACAGCCACCUGCCUGCAGGGCUGGAACCUCGGGGCGCAUCCUACAUCUCCAAGAAGGGAUGUCAGAGAGCUCAUUCUCAGGCUUAUGGCAGCUCUCAGUUCCCUUUUUGUUUUUCCUUCAUAUAAUGGGUGUUAGGCAAUUGUUGCAUUUUGAGCGAGUUGCCUCUUAAGACUGUUGCUACACAGUAUGUUGCCUUCCUGAACAAUAAAGGAAAUGCU
rnacentral:lncRNA from 7 species